AACGAACGCUGGCGGCAUGCCUAACACAUGCAAGUCGAACGAGACCUUCGGGUCUAGUGGCGCACGGGUGCGUAACGCGUGGGAACCUGCCCUUAGGUUCGGAAUAACUCCCCGAAAGGGGUGCUAAUACCGGAUAAUGUCUUCGGACCAAAGAUUUAUCGCCUUUGGAUGGGCCCGCGUUGGAUUAGCUAGUUGGUAGGGUAAAAGCCUACCAAGGCGACGAUCCAUAGCUGGUCUGAGAGGAUGAUCAGCCACACUGGGACUGAGACACGGCCCAGACCUCGGAGGGAAGAAGGAGGGGGGGAUAUUUGAAGAAGGGGGGAAGGCUGGAUCAAGAAUUGCGGGGGGGGGGAGAAAGCCUUAGGGUUGGAAAACUUCUUUAACCGGAGAUGAAAAAAAAGGGACGGGAAAAAAAAGCCCGGCCAAACCCCGUG
rnacentral:rRNA from 1 species